GACGAACGCUGGCGGCGGGCUUAACACAUGCAAGUCGAACGGAAAGGCCCCUUUGGGGGUACUCGAGUGGCGAACGGGGGAGUAACACGUGAGUAACCUGCCCUUGACUUCGGGAUAACUUCAGUAAACUGGGGCUAAUACCGGGUAGGAAUCCUUGCUGCAUGGUGGGGGUUGGAAAGCUUCGGCGGUUUUGGAUGGACUCGCGGCUUAUCAGCUUGUUGGUGGGGUAGUGGCUUACCAAGGCUUUGACGGGUAGACGGCCUGAGAGGGCGACCGGCCACAUUGGGACUGAGAUACGGCCCAGACUCCUACGGGAGGCAGCAGUGGGGAAUAUUGCACAAUGGGCGGAAGCCUGAUGUAGCAACGCCGCGUGCGGGAUGUCGGCCUUCGGGUUGUAAACCGCUUUCAGCAGGGGCGAAGCUUUUGUGACGGUACCUGCAGAAGAAGCACCGGCUAACUACGUG
rnacentral:rRNA from 1 species